rnacentral:rRNA from 1 species
UACGUAGGGUGCGAGCGUUGUCCGGAAUUAUUGGGCGUAAAGAGCUUGUAGGCGGUUUGUCGCGUCUGCUGUGAAAAUCCGGGGCUCAACUCCGGGCCUGCAGUGGGUACGGGCAGACUAGAGUGCGGUAGGGGAGACUGGAAUUCCUGGUGUAGCGGUGAAAUGCGCAGAUAUCAGGAGGAACACCGGUGGCGAAGGCGGGUCUCUGGGCCGUAACUGACGCUGAGGAGCGAAAGCGUGGGGAGCGAACAGG